CGUUAAUGAAAUGAAUGUCUUCAGAGUCAUUGGUGUCAAUAACAAUAGCUUAUUAAUGCUGGAUAACAAUAUACAAUAAAACAUAUUUUGAAUAGUUGUAGUUAAUUUAUUCUUCUUAAAUUGUUUUUCAUACAAAAAGCAUAGGAAAAGUAACAUGAAAUUGUUUAAGUUUUUAAUAUGUGAUUCAAAAAGUAUCAUUUUCAUUCCUAAUAAAACAAAAACUUAUUAAUAUUUUAAUAAUAAAAUGCCUGUUAAAAAUUUCAUUAUUUUUGCAUCUGCAUUGAUUUUGUUUUCAGAUGCCUCAGACAACUGUAUUAGGUAUGAUAACCUGUUGAUCAGGUUUUCCCCUGACACAGUGAUGCAUUAAUCUUGUUUGUUUGAUGUAAUUUUUUCCAAUUGUAGGUUUUCUGAAUUUAGGGGAAAUGUUGAGUGACCUCAAACACUUCCCAUUUAAUUCCUUUAUCUGAUCUUCUAUUGUUUUCAAUGUUACUAAACUCUGUAUGUAUAUCUCAAAAGCUCCAGCUCGUCAGCUGGCCACCUCUUCAGCUCUGGCUUCUAUUGCAAGUGGAUUGGGUAAGUAUUGGAAUUAGGAGUUAUCUGAAGAUCAGAAUACAGGAUGUGUCAAAAUUUUGUCCAAAUAUAAUGUCUCAACUAGAAAAAGUAUUGUUGUUUAGUUCUUUAAUUAUCCACAAAUAAUCACACAAUUUUGAAUAGAAUUGUUUUCUUUAAUGCACAAUCAUU
rnacentral:lncRNA from 1 species